CCUACGGGUGGCAGCAGUGAGGAAUAUUGGUCAAUGGGCGAGAGCCUGAACCAGCCAAGUCGCGUGAGGGAGUACUGCCCUAUGGGUUGUAAACCUCUUUUGUCGGGGAGCAAAAGCCGGACGUGUCCGGCUGUGAGAGUUCCCGAAGAAAAAGCAUCGGCUAACUCCGUGCCAGCAGCCGCGGUAAUACGGAGGAUGCGAGCGUUAUCCGGAUUUAUUGGGUUUAAAGGGUGCGCAGGCGGAUUUUUAAGUCAGCGGUAAAAUCGUGGGGCUCAACCCCAUCCAGCCGUUGAAACUGGGGAUCUAGAGUGUGCGAGAGGUAUGCGGAAUGCGUGGUGUAGCGGUGAAAUGCAUAGAUAUCACGCAGAACCCCGAUUGCGAAGGCAGCAUACCGGUGCACAACUGACGCUCAGGCACGAAAGCGUGGGUAUCGAACAGGAUUAGAUACCCGGGUAGUC
rnacentral:rRNA from 1 species